UUAGAAUAAUAAGUAAUAUCAAAAAUUCAGAAAGUCCUUACUCUUUUGAGUGAGGGAAGUGGGAACAGACAGACUAUGCUAAAGAUGUUUAUUAUUUAUUCUGUAAGUUCUGGCAGCCCAAAUUACUGAUUUUUAGAUUUAUUAUGCCCAGGGACAAGGUAUUAACAUAUACUCUUGUACUAGAUGCUUUGCUGUAAAGCUAUAGGCCCACAAUCCCUUAUUCAUAUAAUUUUGAAACCCAGAAAACUUUUUUUUUAAGAGUUUUCCUUCAGCUUCCUUGGUGUGACCCAAACUAAUUUGGGAGAAAAAUGUGACCUGAAUCUGUGCUGAGGUGAGGCUAUUUUUAUCCUAUCCCAUUUAAUGUUAAUAUUCCAGAGUUUUCAUGUAGAUAUAUUGUGAUUACAGGAUGCUAACUCAUUCUCUUGGAGAGAGUUACGUUAUAUAUUAUAGAUACCACAUUAUUGCUCUAAACCUUGACAAAUUGUGAACUCAUAAAAUACUUUGUUCUAUGGUUUCACUAGAAUUAGUAAAAAUGGUAAGAGAAUCAUACCUCCCAGAAAUGUAAUAUUCUUAUGUAUAAUAGUGUGUUCUAGAAACCGAAACCCUGAGAUUAAUCUUUUGUUGAGCAACAGUACUAUUUGGAACCAAUAAGAGGACUUUGCAUAUAACAUUGCAAAGCAU
rnacentral:lncRNA from 1 species